rnacentral:rRNA from 1 species
AUUGAACGCUGGCGGCAGGCCUAACACAUGCAAGUCGAGCGGAUGAAGGGAGCUUGCUCCUGGAUUCAGCGGCGGACGGGUGAGUAAUGCCUAGGAAUCUGCCUGGUAGUGGGGGAUAACGUCCGGAAACGGGCGCUAAUACCGCAUACGUCCCGAGGGAGAAAGUGGGGGAUCUUCGGACCUCACGCUAUCAGAUGAGCCUAGGUCGGAUUAGCUAGUUGGUGGGGUAAAGGCCUACCAAGGCGACGAUCCGUAACUGGUCUGAGAGGAUGAUCAGUCACACUGGAACUGAGACACGGUCCAGACUCCUACGGGAAGCAGCAGUGGGGAAUAUUGGACAAUGGGCGAAAGCCUGAUCCAGCCAUGCCGCGUGUGUGAAGAAGGUCUUCGGAUUGUAAAGCACUUUAAGUUGGGAGGAAGGGCAGUAAGUUAAUACCUUGCUGUUUUGACGUUACCAACAGAAUAAGCACCGGCUAACUUCGUG